UAUCUUUGCUAUUCAGGACACAUAUAAUC
rnacentral:sRNA from 1 species